AGCAGUCGCCACGGUAAUACGUAGGUGGCAAGCGUUGUCCGGAAUUAUUGGGCGUAAAGCGCGCGCAGGCGGAUCAGUUAGUCUGUCUUAAAAGUUCGGGGCUUAACCCCGUGAUGGGAUGGAAACUGCUGAUCUAGAGUAUCGGAGAGGAAAGUGGAAUUCCUAGUGUAGCGGUGAAAUGCGUAGAUAUUAGGAAGAACACCAGUGGCGAAGGCGACUUUCUGGACGAAAACUGACGCUGAGGCGCGAAAGCCAGGGGAGCGAACGGGAUUAGAUACCCCAGUAGUCCCUGUCUCUUAUACA
rnacentral:rRNA from 1 species